GACGAACGCUGGCGGCGUGCUUAACACAUGCAAGUCGAACGGAAAGGCCCUGCUUUUGUGGGGUGCUCGAGUGGCGAACAGGUGAGUAACACGUGAGUAACCUGCCCUUGACUUUGGGAUAACUUCAGGAAACUGGGGCUAAUACCGGAUAGGAGCUCCUGCUGCAUGGUGGGGGUGGGAAAGUUUCGGCGGUUGGGGAUGGACUCGCGGCUUAUCAGCUUGUUGGUGGGGUAGUGGCUUACCAAGGCUUUGACGGGUAGCCGGCCUGAGAGGGUGACCGGCCACAUUGGGACUGAGAUACGGCCCAGACUCCUACGGGAGGCAGCAGUGGGGAAUAUUGCACAAUGGGCGGAAGCCUGAUGCAGCAACGCCGCGUGCGGGAUGACGGCCUUCGGGUUGUAAACCGCUUUCGCCUGUGACGAAGCGUGAGUGACGGUAAUGGGUAAAGAAGCACCGGCUAACUACGUG
rnacentral:rRNA from 1 species